GGUGCAUGUGGUAGUAGGAUCAUUUUUUUUGGUGCCUUAAUUAUGUGCCUUUAUAAUUUUGUCAUAGGAAUACGACUUUACUCCAAAGGUGGUGAUUCAUUGGCAGGGAGAGUCUAAGGAAAAGGCAAAGCAAAACAGUGAGUGGUGCGGGCUCGAGGCGUGGACAAAGCAUGUUAGAGGUGGGGCACAGCUAUUUAUGUUUUAGAAAUAAAUGACAUUUUUUUUACUUUUAGAUUUUAAACUAUUAUUUUCUUAUGUUGUUAUUGAACUUAGAGUCCAACAUUUUUUUAUUUUUUUAAAAUAUGAGAUCUCAUUGUGUGUCUUUUAAAUUUUUAAAUAAAUAUUUGAUUUGAUAUAUUAAAGAAUUUCUUUUAUAAGAUUUAAAUGGACUCUAGAAGUAACGUCUCGAGAAAUCGGGGCGUUACAAUAUGGUAUCAGAGCCUUCACCCAGCCGGAAGUGUGGUCGACGAGGACGUCGGACCACGUAAGGGGGGUGAUUGCGACAGUCAGUAGUCAUGUGAUCCAUAAGGGGAAACACCGGGUAAGCUGUGCAAUCCCACACCGCCUGGGGAAGGUCAAGUGGGAUGAUUCUGAGACUGUGUAGGUAUGGGACUACACAGUUGAAGAGGGCUUAAAUGGAUUGAUUGGUACUACCUAUGUCAACAAGGUGCAUCUUGUUUUUCA